UACGAAGGGGGCUAGCGUUGCUCGGAAUCACUGGGCGUAAAGCGCACGUAGGCGGAUUGUUAAGUCAGGGGUGAAAGCCUGGAGCUCAACUCCAGAACUGCCCUUGAUACUGGCAAUCUCGAGUCCGGAAGAGGUAAGUGGAACUCCGAGUGUAGAGGUGAAAUUCGUAGAUAUUCGGAAGAACACCAGUGGCGAAGGCGGCUACUGGUCCGGUACUGACGCUGAGGUGCGAAAGCGUGGGGAGCAAACAGG
rnacentral:rRNA from 1 species